rnacentral:rRNA from 1 species
GAUGAACGCUGGCGGCGUGCCUAAUACAUGCAAGUCGAGCGAACGGACGAGAAGCUUGCUUCUCUGAUGUUAGCGGCGGACGGGUGAGUAACACGUGGAUAACCUACCUAUAAGACUGGGAUAACUUCGGGAAACCGGAGCUAAUACCGGAUGAUAUUUUGAACCGCAUGGUUCAAAAGUGAAAGACGGUCUUGCUGUCACUUAUAGAUGGAUCCGCGCUGCAUUAGCUAGUUGGUAAGGUAACGGCUUACCAAGGCAACGAUGCAUAGCCGACCUGAGAGGGUGGUCGGCUACACUGGAACUGAGACAGGGUCCAGACUCCUACGGGAGGCAGCAGUAGGGAAUCUUCCGCAAUGGGCGAAAGCCUGACGGAGCAACGCCGCGUGAGUGAUGAAGGUCUUCGGAUCGUAAAACUCUGUUAUUAGGGAAGAACAUAUGUGUAAGUAACUGUGCACAUCUUGACGGUACCUAAUCAGAAAGCCACGGCUAACUACGUG